CUCCACUUGACUCACUUUUCAAACACAGCAGCAAAAUACCGAAGGCGUUCCUCUCAUUCUACUUAUUCACGAAAUCACCAAAAUGUGGAAGCUUAUCAUUUCCUCGAUGCUGGUUGCAUGCCUUCUUGCAAGCAGCCUCGAUGUUCCAUUCACUGAAGUCUCCAAUACAACUCAAAAAAAAAAUAGUGAUACAUGCUACCAAGUUGUCAUAAAUAAUCAUUGCCUGGAGUCAAUUUACGAUGCCUUUUGUUAUGAUGAGACUUAUGAUCCAGUAGGCGAUGGUUGUUGUUUUUAUUAUAUACAAAUUGCUGAAGAUUGCAUACCUAAAAUGGCUUCAGAUGCAAAAGCAUUGAAUCGUUGUGGCCAAGAAAUUGAUCAAAUUGAUGAAAGAGCUACAAAUCUUUAUCAAUUUUGUCUACGUAAUCUGUAAUUCACAAUUAGGUGACCCAAUGAUCAUAUAAGAAUGUUUUCUUUAUUCCCAAA